CGGGAGGCGUCGGUGAUCUGCCGGAGGAGCUCGACGUCGGCGAGGACGCCCUUGUCGCUGCCGCGGUAGACGUCCUCAAUCUGCCGGCCGACGGUCUCCGCCAGGAUGCUCGGCAGGGAGCGGAUGUUCUCCUCCGGCCGGUCCAGGGCAGCGAUGUUCACCAGCGUCGCCACCGCCUCCAGCGCCGUCGGGGGCUCGCCGAUGACGUGCAGCCCGCAGGGCAGCAGCCGCGACUCAAUCUCCAUGAUCUUGGAGUACACCCUGCCGACGACCAGGUCCCGCUCGUCGGGCUUCAGCUCCUUGCCCUCGUCCGGCAGAUCGACGUCCUUGUCGAGGUUGCAUUGCCUGGCGGUGCUGAUGAUGGAGCUGACAAUCUGCGGGCCGCGGCCGGUGUCCUUGAGCGACUGGUAGGAGGCGAUGAGCUCCGCCAGCUGCUUGAGGCCCUUGUACAGGCCGGCGUUCUCCGCCGGCGGCGUGAGGUAGCUGAUGGUGUUGGCGUAGCUCCGGCGCUUGGCGACGGUGGCCUCGGAGGGGUUGUUGGCGGCGUAGUAGUAGAUGUUGGGGAUGUUGCCGAUGAGGCUGUCGGGGUAGCAGACGUCGCUCAUGCCCACCUGCUUCCCCGGCAUGAACUCGAGCGAGCCGUGCGUGCCGAAGUGCAGCACGGCGUCGGCCUGGAAGAUCUUCUCCACGAAGGAGUAGUAGGCGGCGAAGCCGUGGUGGGGGCUCGCGGAGCGGGAGAAGAGCAGCCGCAUGGGGUCGCCCUCGUAGCCGAAGGUGGGCUGCACGCCGAUGAAGACGUUGCCGUACUGCUUGCCGUAGACGAGCAGGUUCUCCCCGUCGGAGUUGAGGUUGCCGGGGGGCUUCCCCCAGCUCUCCUCCAGGGCGCCGGCGUAGGGGGUGAGCUUCUGGUACUCGCGGACGUUCAUCUUGUAGGCGAUGUUCAGGUUGGGGCUGCUGAACUUGGCCUCCUUGUCGUGGAUCACGUCCUCGAUCAGCGCCUCCGCCGUCUCCGGCAGGCCCUCCACGUUGUACCCGUCCUCCUUC
rnacentral:lncRNA from 1 species